UUUUUUUUUCCCCUCAUAGAAGUCCUGUCUUAGGCUUCUUGGACUGGACAGUCUCAGCUGAAACUACUCACUGUUACAGUGAGAAGCAGCCCUUGGCACUUUGAGAGUGAAAAGUCAUGACUGUGUUCCAAUCAAACUUUAUUUACCACACUGGGCAGCUGGCCAGGCGUGGACUGGGCAGGGAUCUGCUGUACUGAACUGUAGUUCUCUGCAUUAACACAGUGUUAACUCAGAACACAAGAAACCCGCUGCAGAUGUGAUGCAGAAUCUCUCUGAAGGUUGUCUCCGAGGAGCCCCGCAAGGAGCAGGAAGUCCUAAAAAGAGGACACAAGCACAACGUUGGGCAAUAAGAGCCAUAGUCAAUGACCUUCCCUAGCCAAGAGAACAGCGCACAGUAAAACUGCCAUUCGCCUGAUACCGCCUGGCCUCCCCAUCUGUCAAGGCGGAGGAUGCGAGACCUGGUGGACUCCCUGUUGGGGCUGCACAGAAGAAUCUACACAAGCAUGAUCCCUCUUUUGAAGUUCCGUCCUUCUAGCCCCGGCACACUUCUCGGAUGAAGCAGGAGGAUGGCGGCAGAAGUGAGGAACGUCCAGUUUAAACUCCUUGUGAGACUCUGGCGCCAAGGAUGGAAUUCCCCAAGCUGGACUCUGCCCAGCAUGCCAGGCUUAGGUUAUUGGGUAAGAG